UCAUGAUGUAAGCGGAACACGGUUGGAAAGCCGGACCGUAGGAGGUGAGAGUCCUGUAGGGCGUAAAGUUAUGAUAGGAUGUAUGAAAUCCCGAGUAGCAUCGGACACGAGGAAUCCGGUGUGAAUCAGCGUGGACCAUAUCACGUAAGGCUAAAUACUUCUGCCGACCGAUAGAGGAGAGUACCGUGAGGGAAAGGUGAAAAGAACCCUGAGCAAGGGAGUGAAAAAGAAUUUGAAACCGUGUGCCUACAAACGGUAGGAGCCCUUAGGGGUGACUGCGU
rnacentral:rRNA from 1 species